rnacentral:lncRNA from 1 species
CCCAAUUUUAUUGCAAAUCACAACACAAAAUAAUGAAGUUGAAAAUUUGUCAAAUAAAGAUGAACUCUCAGAAAUAUCUCAGCAAGUCUAUAGAGUCUAUGACUUCAAUAUUUUCUUUGUUAAAACAGCAGGAAUGAAAAUGUUAGUGAAUUAUUAUUCUCAAACAGAGGUUAGCUUAUUGACAUAAAAUUUCUAGAUAUCUGUAAAAUUAUUCUAAAUUUCUCUUAAACUCCUUAUAUUUUGUUUAAUGCAGUAGUGUCCUACUCCAUGACACAUUUAAUUACAAACUUUACCCCUAUAGAGGCUAUUUAUUGGGUACAGUGAAUGUGCCUCAAUUUUACAAAUUUUAUAAGGCCAAUGUGGUAGAUUAUUUCCAAAGAUAGCCACCAAUAAUUCUUCCCACAACCGUAUACACAUGCUAUUUUCCCUCCUUUUGAAUAUAAAAGCUAACCCUAUUUAGCCUUACUGAAAUUGCAGAAUUUUGAGCAAAUUAAUGGUGAUUGUUGUUAGGCUCUUAAGUUUUAGGCAUGAUAUUCUCAUAUGGACGUGAUCUGAACUCUACCCCUCUGUGAAAUCCUAUGGCAUUUUAUUUCUCACUUUUUUGUGGUAUAUCACUUCCUACACUGUGUAGAAUAAAAUAUCUCUCAGACUAAAUUAUGUGUAAAAUUCUUGAGAGAAAUGUAUUAUGUCAUAUUUAUCUUGUAUUUCCAAGCUAGGGCAAUAUUUUCUUGUAUGGGACUCAACAUUUAUACAUGAGUGAUUGUGUGUGUGUGUUCAUAUAUGCUAUUCACACAUACGAACUCUACACAAUAAAAUUAAGUAGGGAUGAUUUCCUUCUCACCCAAAGCAAUCAAUGUUUUCUUUAGAAACUAAGGAUAAUACUGUAUCAGCUAGAUCAGCCCAA